UAGGGAAUCUUCCGCAAUGGGCGAAAGCCUGACGGAGCAACGCCGCGUGAGUGAUGAAGGUCUUCGGAUCGUAAAACUCUGUUAUUAGGGAAGAACAAAUGUGUAAGUAACUAUGCACGUCUUGACGGUACCUAAUCAGAAAGCCACGGCUAACUACGUGCCAGCAGCCGCGGUAAUACGUAGGUGGCAAGCGUUAUCCGGAAUUAUUGGGCGUAAAGCGCGCGUAGGCGGUUUUUUAAGUCUGAUGUGAAAGCCCACGGCUCAACCGUGGAGGGUCAUUGGAAACUGGAAAACUUGAGUGCAGAAGAGGAAAGUGGAAUUCCAUGUGUAGCGGUGAAAUGCGCAGAGAUAUGGAGGAACACCAGUGGCGAAGGCGACUUUCUGGUCUGUAACUGACGCUGAUGUGCGAAAGCGUGGGGAUCAAACAGGAUUAGAUACCCUGGUAGUCCACGCCGUAAACGAUGAGUGCUAAGUGUUAGGGGGUUUCCGCCCCUUAGUGCUGCAGCUAACGCAUUAAGCACUCCGCCUGGGGAGUACGACCGCAAGGUUG
rnacentral:rRNA from 1 species